AGAGUUUGAUCCUGGCUCAGAUUGAACGCUGGCGGCAGGCCUAACACAUGCAAGUCGAACGGUAGCACAGAGGAGCUUGCUCCUUGGGUGACGAGUGGCGGACGGGUGAGUAAUGUCUGGGAAACUGCCCGAUGGAGAGGGAUAACUACUGGAAACGGUAGCUAAUACCGCAUAACGUCGCAAGACCAAAGAGGGGGACCUUCGGGCCUCUUGCCAUCGGAUGUGCCCAGAUGGGAUUAGCUAGUAGGUGGGGUAACGGCUCACCAAGGCGACGAUCCCUAGCUGUUCUGAGAGGAUGAUCAGCCACACUGGGACUGAGACGCGGCCCAGACUCCUACGGGAGGCAGCAGUGGGGAAUAUUGCACAAUGGGGGAAACCCUGAUGCAGCCAUGCCGCGUGUGUGAAGAAGGCCUUCGGGUUGUAAAGCACUUUCAGUAGGGAGGAAAGGGUGAGUCUUAAUACGGCUCAUCUGUGACGUUACCUACAGAAGAAGGACCGGCUAACUCCGUGCCAGCAGCCGCGGUAAUACGGAGGGUCCGAGCGUUAAUCGGAAUUACUGGGCGUAAAGCGUGCGCAGGCGGUUUGUUAAGCGAGAUGUGAAAGCCCUGGGCUCAACCUAGGAAUAGCAUUUCGAACUGGCGAACUAGAGUCUUGUAGAGGGGGGUAGAAUUCCAGGUGUAGCGGUGAAAUGCGUAGAGAUCUGGAGGAAUACCGGUGGCGAAGGCGGCCCCCUG
rnacentral:rRNA from 1 species